UGCUAGUUCGCACGGGCUUAGACCCGUGGCGUAUAGCUCAGUAACACGUGGCCAAACUACCCUAUAGACCAUGAUAACCUCGGGAAACUGAGGCUAAUCGUGGAUAUCGCAUUCACGCUUGAACUGCCGAAUGCGAGAAACGUUCCGGCGCUAUAGGAUGUGGUUGCGGCCGAUUAGGUAGACGGUGGGGUAACGGCCCACCGUGCCAGUAAUCGGUACGGGUGGUGACAGCCAGAACCCGGAGACGGUAUCUGAGACAAGAUACCGGGCCCUACGGGGCGCAGCAGGCGCGAAACCUUUACACUGCACGACAGUGCGAUAGGGGGACUCCGAGUGCGAGGGCAUAUAGCCCUCGCUUUUCUCGACCGUAAGGUGGUCGACGAAUAAGGACUGGGCAAGACCGGUGCCAGCCGCCGCGGUAAUACCGGCAGUCCGAGUGAUGGCCGCUGUUAUUGGGCCUAAAGCGUCCGUAGCUUGCCGUGAAAGUCUAUCGGGAAAUCGACGUGCUCAACGCGUCGGCUUCCGGUGGAAACUGCACGGCUUGGGGCCGGAAGACUCAGCGGGUACGUCCGGGGUAGGAGUGAAAUCCUGUAAUCCUGGACGGACCACCAAUGGCGAAAGCACGCUGAGAAGCCGGACCCGACAGUGAGGGACGAAAGCCAGGGUCUCGAACCGGAUUAGAUACCCGGGUAGUCCUGGCCGUAAACGAUGCUCGUUAGGUCUGCCGUGCACUACGAGUGCACGGUGAGCCGAAGUGAAGACGAUAAACGAGCCGCCUGGGAAGUACGUCCGCAAGGAUGAAACUUAAAGGAAUUGGCGGGGGAGCACCACAACCGGGAGGAGCCUGCGGGUUU
rnacentral:rRNA from 1 species